AGCGGAGGAAAAGAAACUAACAAGGAUUCCCCUAGUAACUGCGAGUGAAGCGGGAAAAGCUCAAAUUUAAAAUCUGGUGGUCUUUGGCCAUCCGAGUUGUAAUCUAGAGAAGUGUUAUCCGCGCUGGACCGUGUACAAGUCCCCUGGAAUGGGGCGUCAUAGAGGGUGAGAAUCCCGUCUUUGACACGGACUACCAGGGCUUUGUGAUGCACUCUCAAAGAGUCGAGUUGUUUGGGAAUGCAGCUCAAAAUGGGUGGUAAAUUCCAUCUAAAGCUAAAUAUUGGCGAGAGACCGAUAGCGAACAAGUACCGUGAGGGAAAGAUGAAAAGAACUUUGGAAAGAUAGUUAAACAGUACGUGAAAUUGUUGAAAGGGAAACGCUUGAAGUCAGUCGCGUCAGCCAGGGAUCAACCUUACCUUUGUGAGGCGUACUUCCUGGUUGAUGGGUCAGCAUCAGUUUUGUCUGCUGGAUAAAGGUCAGAGAAAUGUGGCACCUUCGGGUGUGUUAUAGUCUCUGAUCAGAUACAGUGGCUGGGACUGAGGAACUCAGCACGCCGCAAGGCCGGGGUUCGCCCACGUUCGUGCUUAGGAUGCUGGCAAAAUGGCUUUAAUCGACCCGUCUUGAAACACGGACCAAGGAGUCUAACAUGCCUGCGAGUGUUUGGGUGGAAA
rnacentral:rRNA from 1 species